ensembl:snoRNA LOC120098402 small nucleolar RNA SNORA17
ACUCCCCUAUAGUUGCAGAUAUGGCUGUUGUGUCACAUGUGGAGGUGGCAGACAGAAGCUAGAUCUAUGCUCAGUGCUCUGACAUGUGUUGAAGUUUGGUCUUUUGCUUGCAUU